GUGCCCAAUCUUGGCUGACCAAAAGGACUCAACGGAAGUAUUUUUAAAAUACCGAGUCCUAACUGGGACUACAGCACAGUGGUAAGGGGCCUCCUUAGCACUGAAUAAAACUGAGUUGUGGCGGCAGAUGCCUGCAGUUCCAGCGCUCAGGAGGUAGAGGCCAGAGGAUCAUGCUCAGCUGCACGGUAAAUUCAAGGGCAGCAUGGCAUACAUGUGACACCAGCUCAAAAAGAAAAAAGCGGAGAGAAGGUAGGCGACAUGAGUUCCAGCCCCGGCCCAGGGCUCACUGGAGAACUUCCACAGCUCCUCCUGUGCAGCUUUGAGCCACGGCCUUAGCACAGUAUCAGACACACCUAGAGCUCAUGGCUUUGUCUCAAAUUCGCUCUUGCACCUUCUCCAGGAGUAGACACGAGGCAGAGGGUUGCUCUUUAUACCAGCCUAAAGUUGGAACCUUUUAGGGGAAGUGACAAGGUCCACUGCGGCAUUCGUAGCGUUCAGCAAACCUCUGCCCGCUAUUGCCCAGAACUUUCUGCCCUCAGUGCACACCCCACUCCCACCCCGAGGCCCUGCUCCUAGCUUAUCCACUUCCUUCUAUAUGCCGCUCCCUUUAAUAGAACCAGAAGGGAGAAAGGGGAAAGUGUGUGCGUUCACAGUGCCGCCUAGCUAACUUUGUAUUCCCCUUCAGCAGUUCAGAAGCUGGUGGGAGCUAGAAUACUGGGAGGGGUUGUGACUGCGGGAUCCAGGUGAAUGCCUACACAUGAAAACACAAAAACAAAAACAAACAGCAAAAAAAAAAAAAAAAAACCAAAACAAACCAAACAAACAAACAAAACCCAAGCAUCUUUGGUACAUCCACUGAAAAGCUGGGCUGUCCCAACAUUGUUGGGUAGGCCUGAACCACAGCACGUUGAUAUUUGUGAUAGAUAUCUAAUAACUAUAGCAACUGGACAUGAACUUUGGUCCCCCUCCUAAAAGCAAGGCCAUCUACAAUUGCUUCCCUUGGCACCCACACAACAUUUUCAAGUGAUCGACGAGAAGGCAGAGGCCAGGUCUAGCCCAGGAGAACAGAGAAGUUGGAUGCCAAAGCCAUGCAGUGUGACCUCAGUGAGAUCAGGCACUCCAGGGACCCUAACAGGACUCUUGUUGGUUUUUCUGGGUCAGCCAGGAAGGGGUUUUCCCGUAGCCCCAUUUUUCCAGUCAGUUUGUGAGUGCGGAGCUUAGGAGACAGCCAAAGUUCUAAGGACCAAGAGGUGGAUGGAAAAAAAGUAAUAGUAAACAAUUGAGAGCCACCUGGAUGGUCCUCUGCUCAGCCUGGGAGGAGGGGAGGGGGGAGGAGAGGGGACACCUUCCCCUUCAAUAAUCAGGAUUGUGUGGGGGCUGGGCCCUGCAUGCAUCUGAUAAGGCUGUUAUGUUAGCAGGCACACCUGCCUGGCCAUCUGGCACUUCUGUUCUGCAGACAAGCCACCCUGGGCCUCCUUUGCCCACCUCUUCAAAGGUCAGGGCUGGAGGGGUCCCAAAACACCUGCUGGAGAAAGAGGGGUUUUUUCCUAAACCCCAAUGUUGUAAGGCAGCCUUCUAGGUCCCCAGGUAACACUUUGGAAUUGCUUCUUGGCUUUGUCAGAUGUGUGUCCCUAGCUGUGAAGUGGUGGGGCGGGACCUGUGCGAGCCACCCUCCCCCCCACCCCCCUUAAUAGUUUAAGCGUGGAUUGAUUCUGACCUUGCUGAGAUAACAGAGUGUGGGUCGGGAACAGGGAUAGUUUAAACAAGACUCCCCUCUCUUCUAUCAGACUGAAUCAGAGCAGCAGCCCGGGCACCAUUAAUCAUCUCAAAAGCUGGGCUUCUGAAGCUUAUCUGUGGUACAAUCUCCACAUCCCCUCCUCUUCUGCUCUCUGGAAACCAUAGUAUUUAGGAAGAGAGCUUGGUACCUAUGUUAGCAAAUCAUAUUAGGUCCUGUCCAGCUGCACAUAAGCCAUUAAUGUAUACAUUUAACCCUUUCAAUAAAGAUCUGAUAUGAUACAGAAAAAAAGGGGGUCUGCUGUGUGUGUGUUGUAUCCAGCCCAGACAAUGGUUCUUCAGAUCUGUGAGAGCUUAGGGAGGAGCCCAAGUCACCAGUGCAUGGCUGAUAACAUUAUAAAUUACAAAUUACACCUUAUGCUUGUAUGUAAUGUUUUGUUUUGUUUUAUUUUUUCAGUCCUGGGGAUUGAACCUAAAGGCCUCAGACAUGCUAGGCCAACACUACAUCUGUUCUACAUCCUCAGUCAUUUAAACUAUAUGCUUAAGAACCCUCUCCCCAUUUUGAGAUAGAGUCAUAUGUGGCCCAGGCUGGCCUCCGACUUGCUAGAUAGCCCACUGCUGGGAUUGUGGGUAGCCCAGUGCCGGAACUAAGAGUAUGUGCCACCAAGGCCAGUUUUAUGUGGUGUGGCAGACAAAAUCCAAGGCUUCCAACACGCAAGACAAGCAUCCUGUAACUUGAGUUACAUCCCCAGUCCCAGACCAGUGAGAGUCCACCUGGCCCCCUGCUAUAUAAGGAUGCUGUGAAGAGGAAGACACCUAAGAACCAGGACGAGGCUCUCACCAGACGUCAGAGCAGCCAGCACUUUGAUCAUGAUUUCUCUGCCUGGAGAACUAUGGGAAACAUUUCUAUUGCUGAUCCACUACCUAGUUUGGGGGUAUUUUAUUAUAGCUGCCCAACACACUAAGAGAUCAAGGGCAGAUCUUUUGCUCUCACAUUGAAUAGUUAGGCCCAUUCGGGAAUGAGGCCGUCUGAAGUGAGGUAUUUCAGAGCCUGCUCACACUUAAUGAAUGAAUCAAAAGCACCGGGCCCAUCGGUGCCCAUUCUUCCCAGGCUCAUAGGUCUGUGCUACAUGUACUCCAUGACUCCCCAAGACAGACACUUCAUGUGAAGCCCCCUCAUUUCCAAACAUCCCCUAGGCUGGGAAUGCUGCUCACUUGGUUAAGCAUUUGCCUAAUAUGCAUGAGGGCCCUAGGUUCAAUCCUCAGCACCACAUAACCUAGUGUCAUGACCAUGACCGUAAUCCAGCUCAGGAGGCUGGAGGCUCAGAUCAAGGUCGUUCUCAGUUGCAUAUGGAGCUCAAGGCCAGGCUGGUCUCUAAGAAACCUUACAUAAAAACAAGAACAUGUUCCUUGCUUCUGAAUCUGCAUUUCCAAAAUCGCCAUGUUACCCUUUUAGGCGCUAAGUAAUUUAAAUCCAUCAUGACUCCCAACCUCCCAGGAGCCUUGUCCAGGUUAUAGACCCUAUAUUAUUUUCACAGUAGGUCAGCCAUGAGCCUCAAAAGCCCCCCCCCCCCGCUGGGCCCUGUACCAUGUUCUGUCAUAGAGGCAGUAUGAAGAGAAUUUAUCUGUGGGUGAUUUUCAUACACAGACCUUUAAGAAGUCAUGGCUGUUGUCAUGCCAGCCCCUAAGUGCGCCUUGCAGGACAGGCUGUGCUCUUCACACUUUGCAACCGUCCUGUGUCCCUCCUUCUCCCAGCAUUGAUUCUGGUUCACACUAAUUAGGUCCUUCUUGGACUGUAACAGGAAGGAGAGCUUUGCCAUGUUCUUUAAGGAGACCAUGUGAGAGUUCGACCUGCUGCUGGUUGCUAGGCAACCUGGAUGAUCCUACAGUAAAGACGAACCCUUGAGUGAGUGUGCCAGGGCCAGUGAGCCUAGUUAGUAGCUAUUGAAUAUAAGUCUCUAUGCCGCUAAGAGGUUUGAGAAAGUUCUGGACGGUGUUGGCUCCCCUGAACCACUGUCUUUUGUUUUUUUGUUUUUAGAUAGAUUCUCAUGUAGGUCUAGUUGGACUUGAAGUACACAUGUGGGAUUAUAAGUGUGUGAUACACACACAGAAGUUCCCCUAUCUUUUUAUAUUAAUUGUUCCUUCAUGUGUUUUGUCUGUGUGUGUGUGUGUGUGUGUGUGUGUGUGUGUGUGUCUGUCUGUGUGUUUCUGUGUGUGUCUCUGUGUGCAUGGGUAUGUGUGCAGGUGCUCAUGCAUGCUCCCAGAUUCGGUGGAGGCAAGAGGAGGCUCACAAGUUCAAAGUCAUCCUCAGCUACACAGUGAGGGUGGAGCCAGUCUGAGCUUUGUAAAACUCUGCCUACCCCACCCCUGCCCCUAAAGACACCAUACUCUGAAUUUUGGUUUUUCUCCUAGGCAGGAAAUAUGGACAUGGAAUCUCGUGAUGCUGAGAAGCUGUAGCAAGCUUCGUCUGCUAGUUAACUGCAUGCAGUCUGUAGUCGCGGGGAAACAGAGCAAGCCGCUCUGCUGAACGAAAGUGUCAGUAGAUCAGAUGUAUAUGACCCUCAGGCAAGCAAUAUGGCUGAAAUAUUGUUUGAGGAUCAGUUUCCUCCACUUGGCAACUGACGGAACUCACCUUAAAGGAGGCAAUCCUAGCAGCAGCAGCAGCAGCAGCAGAGCUUAUGCAGAUGCAGUUUCCCCUGUGAGGUAGACCCUGGCACCUCAGCAUACCACUGCCACCACAACUAGACGGGAUGAGCUGCUGUGUACCAUUCCCUGGCUUGCCAGAAAGCUAUUUAGGGGUAGUUUAAUAACUCCUUUUGAUUUAAAAAUAUGUAAUUUGACGCAAUAAUUUAUCUCUCUGGGUGUUUUUGCAUAAUUUACAUCUAUGCAACUUGUGUGUGCCUGGAGCCCUCAGCCCAUGAGAGGGCAAAAUGGUUAAACCUUGAUUAGAUCCUAGAAAAA